GUUUCUUUCCAAGCUACACCAGGGAGCCAUGUGCUAACUGCUACGGUCCUGUACUCCAUCUGCUUGAAAGCAGGGGUGGGGGGAGGAAUCAGAAGAGAGAGAUUUAUCCUUGUUGGCCAGAGGAUGAACCUAAAUCCUGGCUGCAGUCUCUGUGUGUUGGAGGAAGACACGGCAGGAGAGAGGUAUCUCAGUGGAAAGAUAAGUUUGGUAGAUUUUAUUUAAGCUAUAACUUUUGAAGUUUUAGGCAUCAAAGAGAACAGAAAAAAAGGCCCAAAUGUGAAGAUCCUUGUUAGCUACUCAAAUAUCAGACAUGUCACCUAAUCAGCUGGAGUCCUUUAGAGGUUUACUGAAGCAGGUUUUUUCAGGCAAGCAGACAGUUCUGAGAAUUGAUAAGAAGCUACAUUUGCUUUCAGCUUUAAUAUACUUAUAUAAUUCUAACCAGGUCAGUAAUGGCCAAAACACAUUAUAAAAUAAUCUGUAUUCAUUUAAUUAGCAUAGGUCAUCUGACAGCUGCAAAGUUUCAGGAGACGUAAGUGCCACCAGUACAGACUGGAGUCAGCGACAGCAACACAGACAAACCUUUCCAGUGUGGCCUUGCCCUGGUGCACAGCUCCUGCUCUGCUGCCGCUCCCCAGCCCUGGCACAGGGCUCCCGAGGUCGCUGCCGUGGAGUUGGCGCUUCAGUAUCAAACUGCCCUAAGUGGCUGCACAUCCCAGGUGAAAUUUGUGACCCCAUGUCAGAGGCUGGAAGUGGAAGCCACAGGUACGUCCUGCUCACUUCAGGAUGCCGUUACGUCUCGGGCCUGGGUCUGCGUUUUCCUCUGCAAAAGAGAGUGCAAAAUGUUGAGGAGGAGGACGCUCCUUUCCACCCCCAACCCAUGCAUCAGUGCCAGCUGAAAGGUUUGUUCAUCAAGGAAAUAGUCUGCCCAGGACCUUGAAAGCAUCUGGGAGUCAGCAGCCACCAACGA